rnacentral:rRNA from 1 species
UACGGACGGGGCAAGCGUUGUUCGGAAUCAUUGGGCGUAAAGGGCGUGUAGGUGGUUCUGUAUGUCUACCGUGAAAGCGUACGGCUCAACCGUAUUUAGUCGGUAGAAACUGCAGGACUUGAGGCUGGGAGGGGCUGGUGGAAUUCCCCGUGUAGCGGUGAAAUGCGUAGAGAUGGGGGAGAACACUCGUGGCGAAGGCGGCCAGCUAGACCAGUUCUGACACUGAGGCGCGAUAGCGUGGGGAGCAAGCAGG